rnacentral:rRNA from 1 species
UAACGCGUGGGAAUCUGCCCUCAAGUGGGGAAUAACGACGGGAAACUGUCGCUAAUACCGCAUACGCCCUUAGGGGGAAAGAUUUAUCGCUGAUAGAUGAGCCCGCGUACGAUUAGCUAGUUGGUGAGGUAAUGGCUCACCAAGGCUACGAUCGUUAGCUGGUCUGAGAGGAUGAUCAGCCACACUGGGACUGAGACACGGCCCAGACUCCUACGGGAGGCAGCAGUGGGGAAUAUUGGACAAUGGGCGAAAGCCUGAUCCAGCAAUGCCGCGUGAGUGAUGAAGGCCUUAGGGUUGU